AUGCUUGCUUCAGCAGCACACAUACUAAAACUGGAACAAUACAGAGAAAAUUAGCAUGCUUCUGUGCAAGGAUGACAUACAGGUUCAUGAAGCAUUCCAUUUAAAA
ensembl:snRNA U6 U6 spliceosomal RNA